rnacentral:rRNA from 1 species
UGGGGAAUCUUGGACAAUGGGCGCAAGCCUGAUCCAGCCAUGCCGCGUGAGUGACGAAGGCCUUAGGGUUGUAAAGCUCUUUUGGCGGGGACGAUAAUGACGGUACCCGCAGAAUAAGCCCCGGCUAACUUCGUGCCAGCAGCCGCGGUAAUACGAAGGGGGCUAGCGUUGUUCGGAAUUACUGGGCGUAAAGCGCACGUAGGCGGAUUUGUCAGUCAGGGGUGAAAUCCCGAGGCUCAACCUCGGAACUGCCUCCGAUACAGCAAGUCUCGAGUCCGGAAGAGGUGAGUGGAAUUCCUAGUGUAGAGGUGAAAUUCGUAGAUAUUAGGAAGAACACCAGUGGCGAAGGCGGCUCACUGGUCCGGUACUGACGCUGAGGUGCGAAAGCGUGGGGAGCAAACAGGAUUAGAUACCCAAGUAGUCCCUGAGCGGGCUGGCAAGGCGCAU